rnacentral:tRNA from 1 species
GUGAGGGUGGCGGAAUUGGUAGACGCGCUAGCUUCAGGUGUUAGUGUCCUUCGGACGUGGGGGUUCAAGUCCCCCCUUUCGCACCA